AAUGGGGGAAACCCUGAUCCAGCCAUACCGCGUGAGUGAAGAAGGCCUUCGGGUUGUAAAGCUCUUUCGGCCGGGAAGAAAUCGCAUGGGUGAAUACCCUGUGUGGAUGACGGUACCGGAACAAGAAGCACCGGCUAACUACGUGCCAGCAGCCGCGGUAAUACGUAGGGUGCGAGCGUUAAUCGGAAUUACUGGGCGUAAAGCGUGCGCAGGCGGCUNACUAAGACAGAUGCGAAAUCCCCGGGCUUAACCUGGGAACUGCGUUUGUGACUGGUGGGCUUGAGUGCGGCAGAGGGGGGUGGAAUUCCACGUGUAGCAGUGAAAUGCGUAGAGAUGCGGAGGAACACCGAUGGCGAAGGCAGCCCCCUGGGUCGACACUGACGCUCAUGCACGAAAGCGUGGGGAGCGAA
rnacentral:rRNA from 1 species